AAAGAAUUCAUUCCCUGAAAUCGGGUUUAACACUUUUGGUUCAUACAAAUCAUAUUAUUAAAAAGUUGUAUAUAUUCACUAAAAAUGAAAUUCGAUGUAAAGAAGAAAAGAAAAUCAUUCCCUGGACAUGAAGGGUCAAGUACUUGUUAGGGAAGGACGGUUUAGUUGGGUUUGUUUUUGACCCUAUAGAGCCAAGAGAGGCUGCAUUUAUCCAUUAGAGUACAGAUGGCAGUAAAUGGUAAGCUAGUUAGGAUGCCAAGUGGACCACCCGUGGCACUUAUCCCUUACUAUAGUUGAAAAAAAAAAGUAAGAUUGAGAGAAUAAACUGUGACUGAGAGGAAACUUAAUAGCAAAAUUCCUUCAUUUCUUUUGAUUUUAAAAGAGAAAACGAAAAAAAGAAAAAGAAGGGAAUUCUUUACCAUAGUCAUACAGCACCUUUUUUGGUUUGAUGAUGAUAGGCACAUGGGCUGCACUGCAAUGUCAACUAAUUUUGUGUGUAUAUAUUUGAUGGUCUACUGAGACAGUUAUACAUCCCUCCCAUAUACUGUGAUCUUCACGUGCACUGCCGAUUUCCCUUUGUAUUUUCUCUGCAAAUCUUAUCUGUUUUUCUUUCUUUCUUUCAACUGGUGUAGUCUUUUCUUGGAAGGCGUUGGUACAUUGUAUUUGAUUUAGUUUUUGGACCUUUGUUUUACUUCGGGGCUGGUUUUGACAAAGAAGAAAAAGCAAUGGAGACUAAGAGACAAGUUGGUUCUUCUUCCUCGUUCACAGCUGAUCUUUUUGGCUCCAAAGAUUCAUCAUCUUCAUCAUCAAAAGGGAUUUUCAGUUCCAUUUUUCCACCUCCAUCUUCGAUUGGAGGGAAGAACUCCUCAGGCUCCAAGGUGCUGGAAUCAUGGCCAAAGCAGCCUUUAGAAGGUUCAGCUUGGAGACAAGGUAUGCAAGCUCCACUGCAAAACAAGGAAGAAAGGGUUGAACCAUGCCAUUUAAGUUCAUCUCUUUACUAUGGUGGGCAAGACUUGUAUUCCCAUCCCUCGACUUGCCAAAGUACAUCUACAACAUCGUAUCCAGUUUUUAAAAAAGAUGGGGGAGAAGAUGACACUAAUGGAAACAAUUCAAUGGAUGCUUCUAGAGGGAAUUGGUGGCAAGGUACUGGUUUUCUAUUUGAAAGCUUCAAGUUGGUGAUCAGCGAAAAUCUGGGUUUAGAGUUAUUCCUAUAUCUCAGACACUUGACUUGGAUUUCUACAGGAAUUCAUAAAGCAAAGCAAAGCCAAUAAUCAUGGAAGAACAUAAAAGCAUGAAUAAGUUGCCGACUCUUUGGAUUUCAAAUCGUUUCAGUAAUACCUUUUUCAUAAUUUUUCUCUGGAAAAUGAAGCUUGAGAAGUCCUUUAUAUGUAAAAGAUCAUGCUUGAGAUUCUGCAUCAAAAAUACCAUAUUUUUGCUUUGUAUCAAAGUUACACAGCAAAAAUUGAAAAACAAGUAUCUUUUUCCACAAUUCAUGCAAAGGCACUACUCAAGUCAAUACUCAUCAUCCGUCUCCAUAUCCAAAUAAUAGAAAUAGAAGGAAAAAACUGUAAAGACUCCAACAACUCAAAAAAGUCCUCAAACUGAAAUCUGCAACGAAGCCAAAACCGACCUCCAACAACAACGAAAAUCUGAAACCAACACAAGACAGGCACGAAUUCCAUGCCCAGUGAUGUCUUUGCAGGGGGAAAAAAAGGCGUUUCGCCGUUGCCGGGGAUCGAACCCGGGUCGCCCGCGUGACAGGCGGGAAUACUCACCACUAUACUACAACGACUUAGUUGAUGUCGGGGCUUCAAAGUACUGAGUUUUCUUACAAUAACUUGUGCACUAGGUCCUUGUUGUCCAACUGGCUUGGUCGAAGGAGGUAGAGGAAAUGGGAAAUGGCAAGAAUAAAUGCAAGUUGGUUGCAUCAGUGAUGUGACCAAAGGAUCCAAUAAUAUUCAUCAAGGCACCAUUAGUUUCUGCAUGAUAUCCAUCUAUGAUUUAAGAAGCCAAUACAAUAUCAAUCAAGUUGAAAA